rnacentral:rRNA from 1 species
ACCGGGGGCUAAUACCGGAUAACACAUGAAACCGCAUGGUUUCAUGAUGAAAGACGGUUUUGCUGUCACUUAUAGAUGGACCCGCGGCGUAUUAGCUAGUUGGUAAGGUAACGGCUUACCAAGGCAACGAUACGUAGCCGACCUGAGAGGGUGAUCGGCCACACUGGAACUGAGACACGGUCCAG